GCUUAUCUGAAUCAAGCAAUUAUCUUGUCUUGAAUAUCUAAUAAGCAAGAAACAAGAGAGAAAACAUGCCGAACAGUACAAAUAUUUUUGUAAUAGAUAACACAUCCUGCAAAAAAGAUUUAAUAUGAAACAAACUCAAAUGCAAUCUUCAAACCAUGUUCUCUUCACAUUUCAUCCUGUUUUUUGCAGACUUGGAUGAAACUGCUGAUCAAAAGGACUGGAACUGAAGCCGGCAGCCAAAACCAGCAUCAGAAAACUAUUGAGACCCCCAAUUCAUUACACUCAUUUGAUUUCUUGUCCAUAAAGACAAGGAAAAUUAUGUGAGAUAAUUGAGUCCUUUUACCAUGCUACUCAUUCCUAAUAAGGUUUUCCAUCAGAAACUCCUGUCUCAAUUUUCUAAUGCCUUGAUCCUUGAGAGUCUUCCUCAUCAGGAUUUUGUUGCUGCUGCUGCUGUUGCUGUUGCUGAUUAAAGGAAUUUAGGCUGCUGCGGCUCUGUCCCAUCUGCUGGUAAAAUUGGCUCAAAGCCUGAGAAUUCAACAUCCCUGUUUGCCCAUCCUGAGAAAGCCCAAGCUCCAAACCUGGAACUUGCUGAUUAGUACCACUAAACAUGGAGUAAAAACUCAUCAAACCCAUAUUAAUAUUUGGGAAUUCAAUCCCAUGGAACCCAAACUUUGACAAAUUAUUGGAGUUUUCGUUUGCAAAAUUGGACGCUGACUGGCUGGUAUUUGAAAUAAAUCCUGCUCCAAUUCCACCAACAGAGGGCCAUAUCCCACUUGCUAAAUUAGAUCUUCCCAAAUUACCACUCAUCAUUGCCCAACUGGCCUUGUCUCUGGACCCAAUACUUGGUCCCAGCCCUUCCAUCUUUGUAUGCAAUCCUGUAGAAGCAGAGCUCCCCUGUUGAGAAACAGAGGCCCCUGCAGCUGCAAGAGCUGAAGCUGGAAUCGUCCCAGUACCAGUUGCAGCAAUAAUCGAUGGUUCAGCUUGCUGU
rnacentral:misc_RNA from 1 species